rnacentral:tRNA from 1 species
GCAGCAGUGGUUGAGUGGACAAAUUCUUGCCUUCCAUGCAGGAGACCCAGGUUCGAUUCCUGGCCAAUGCA